AGCACAAUUUCUGGAUCACAUGCUAAGUUUAGGUUCAGUAUUAUAAGAAACUUUAGGUUCAGUAUUAUAAGAAACUGUCAAACUAUUCCAAAUUGGUUUUAGCAUUUUGCAUUUCCACCAGCAGU
rnacentral:pre_miRNA from 1 species